UUCUUCAGGGCAGGGUGAAAUUCCCUACCGGCGGUAAAGCCCGCGAGCGAGUGUCGAUUUUCGGCAUGAGCAUGAUCUGGUGAAACUCCAGGGCCGACAGUAAAGUCUGGAUAAAAGAAGAA
rnacentral:ncRNA from 1 species